UACAGAGGGGGCAAGCGUUGUUCGGAAUUACUGGGCGUAAAGGGCGCGUAGGCGGCCUUCUAAGUCGAACGUGAAAUCCCGGGGCUCAACCCCGGAACUGCCUUCGAUACUGAGGAUCUUGAGUCCGGGAGAGGUGAGUGGAACUGCGAGUGUAGAGGUGAAAUUCGUAGAUAUUCGCAAGAACACCAGUGGCGAAGGCGGCUCACUGGCCCGGUACUGACGCUGAGGUGCGAAAGCGUGGGGAGCAAACAGG
rnacentral:rRNA from 1 species